GUGCCAGACUCCUACGGGAGGCAGCAGUGAGGAAUAUUGGUCAAUGGUCGGGAGACUGAACCAGCCAAGCCGCGUGAGGGAGGAAGGUACAGAGUCUCGUAAACCUCUUUUGUCAGGGAACAAAGGCGGGGACGUGUCCCCGGAUGAGUGUACCUGAAGAAAAAGCAUCGGCUAACUCCGUGCCAGCAGCCGCGGUAAUACGGAGGAUGCGAGCGUUAUCCGGAUUUAUUGGGUUUAAAGGGUGCGUAGGCGGAAUAGCAAGUCAGCGGUAAAAAUGCGGGGCUCAACCCCGGCGUGCCGUUGAAACUGAUGUUCUUGAGUGGGCGAGAAGUAUGCGGAAUGCGUGGUGUAGCGGUGAAAUGCAUAGAUAUCACGCAGAACUCCGAUUGCGAAGGCAGCAUACCGGCGCCCAACUGACGCUGAAGCACGAAAGCGUGGGUAUCGAACAGGAUUAGAUACCCUUGUAAAC
rnacentral:rRNA from 1 species